CUGGGAAUGGGGUGCGAUCCGGUGCCACUGCUGUCCGAUUUCUCUCCCUCUCUCCCUCAGUUACCCAGGUUGCGAGGAGAAGGAGCCCCCCCUGCGCUCGGAGGAGUGAUGCUCAUCCGAGAAGUCUUGCUAUUCCUCCACUGCUUCUGGCCUUCUUUGCUGCUGCACUGGACCCUCCAUCCCAUCUGGGGCUUCAUUCAGAUUGCUCAGGGUGAACCUCAAAAGUCAUGCUUCAAGCCUGUAACAGAGAAAGUUACAGACAGUUGCCAACAGAUCUGUCAAUGUAGACCACCUCCCUUACCACCACCACCACCACCUCCUCCACCGCCAAGGUUGCUUGGGGUCUCGCCAUCUCCCACACCUCCCACUUGUCCCACUGCAGAGACCUGGUGGCCAAGCCCAGUUCUAAUUAUUGCAGCAUGCUGCACCACACCAGUGUUCCUCUUUCUAGUUUUCAUCAUUUGCUACAAAGCCAUAAAAAGGAAACCGCUGAAAAAAGAAGAGAAUGGAACAAGUCGAGCUGAAUAUGCAAUGACCGCCUCCCAAAAUAACAAGACAGUUGACGUGAACAAUGCGGUGGUAUAAUUUCUGAGACUGUCCCCCCUUGAGUAGAAAAUGUUAAAAGCACACACGGCGUCAGCAAGAUCUGUAAGCAGGAUCUCUCUAGAGUGGCUUUAAAUAUUUUGGGUUGAACAUGGAGGAAGACUAGCCACAAUGGAAACUGAAGGUCUCCUUAUUCUGCUUGCCAGCUCAGAUUUCCUGAUGGUUCCCCCAUUUUCUGAGUAACUCCUCUAAGGGACCUCUUCUGAAGAAAGGACUCUCUGCUUUAGGGAGAAAGCUGUGCUAGCUCAGUCCUCUCUCUUGACAAGGGACUGCCAACUGUGCCAAAUUAUACGUGGUAGCUCUGUGUUGUUCCACUUUGUG